rnacentral:other from 1 species
UUUCCUGGGGAGUGCGUGAUCUUUAUUGCGGUGCUGACCUCACAAGCACAUAUACGAGAAGCGAGCAUCUGAAUCCGUGUGCAAGCCCUUUGGGGAAGCCUAAAGAUUCAGACAAGAUUCUCACCUGGUAACCCCAGGUUUUGCACCGUAAUUAAGACACGGCUCCUUGGGA